UGGGGUAUAGCUCAGUGACAGAGCACUUGCCUAGCAUGUGUGAGGUCUUGAGUUCAAUCCUCAUGAACCAC
rnacentral:tRNA from 1 species